rnacentral:rRNA from 1 species
GACGAACGCUGGCGGCGUGCCUAACACAUGCAAGUCGAACGGAAAGGCCCUGCUUUUGUGGGGUGCUCGAGUGGCGAACGGGUGAGUAACACGUGAGUAACCUGUCCCUGACCUUGGGAUAACCUCAGGAAACUGGGGCUAAUACCGGAUAGGAGCUCUUGCUGCAUGGUGGGGGUUGGAAAGUUUCGGUGGUUGGGGAUGGACUCGCGGCUUAUCAGCUUGUUGGUGGGGUAGUGGCUUACCAAGGAUUUGACGGCUAGCCAGCCUGAGAGGGUGACCGGCCACAUACGGAGUGAGUGAGAGCCGGGACAGAUUCGUAAGGGAGGAGGGAGUGGGGAAGAGCGAAGGGCGGACGCAUGCUGGAGCAACGCCGGGUGCGGGAUGGAGGCCUUCGGGAGGGAAGCAAAGUUCGCCUAUGCCGGAGCGUAAGGAACGUACAUGGGUAAAAAGGCACGGCCAACCUAGGU